rnacentral:rRNA from 1 species
UGGGGAAUCUUCCGCAAUGGACGAAAGUCUGACGGAGCAACGCCGCGUGAGUGAAGACGGCCCUCGGGUUGUAAAGCCCUGUGACCCGGGACGAAAGAGCCUGAGGUGAAUAGCCUAAGGAAGCGACGGUACCGGAAAAGCAAGCCACGGCUAACUACGUGCCAGCAGCCGCGGUAAUACGUAGGUGGCAAGCGUUGUCCGGAAUUAUUGGGCGUAAAGCGCGCGCAGGCGGCUUCCUAAGUCCAUCUUAAAAGUGCGGGGCUUAACCCCGUGAUGGGAUGGUAACUGGGAAGCUGGAGUAUCGGAGAGGGAAGUGGAAUUCCUAGUGUAGCGGUGAAAUGCGUAGAGAUUAGGAAGAGCACCGGAGGAGAAGGCGACUGUCUGGACGAAAGCUGACGCUGAGGCGCGAAAGAGUGGGGAGCAAACAGG